rnacentral:rRNA from 1 species
UACGAAGGGGGCUAGCGUUGCUCGGAAUUACUGGGCGUAAAGCGCACGUAGGCGGCUUGUUAAGUCAGGGGUGAAAUCCUGGAGCUCAACUCCAGAACUGCCUUUGAUACUGGCGAGCUUGAGUUCGGGAGAGGUGAGUGGAACUGCGAGUGUAGAGGUGAAAUUCGUAGAUAUUCGCAAGAACACCAGUGGCGAAGGCGGCUCGCUGGCCCGAUACUGACGCUGAGGUGCGAAAGCGUGGGGAGCAAACAGG